rnacentral:misc_RNA from 1 species
GAUGAAUAACGUAGUGAAAUGCGAUACGUAAUGUGAAUUGCAGAAUUCAGUGAAUCAUCGAAUCUUUGAACGCACAUUGCGCCCGCCAGUAUUCUGGCGGGCAUGCCUGUUCGAGCGUCAUUUCAACCAUCAAGCCCCCGGCUUGUGUUGGGGACCUGCGGCUGCCGCAGGCCCUGAAAACCAGUGGCGGGCUCGCUGUCACACCGAGCGUAGUAGAUUUUCAUCUCGCUCAGGGCGUGCUGCGGGUUCCGGCCGUAAAAAGCCUUAUUUACCCAAGGUUGACCUCGGAUCAGGUAGGAAGACCCGCUGAACUUAAGCAUAUCAAUAAGCGGAGGA